AACGCACCUUGCACCCUCUGGCAUUCCGGAGGGUAUGCCUGUUUGAGUGUCAUUAAUCUCUCAACACAAGAAACUUUGUCUUCUUGUGCUUGGAUGUUGAUGGCUUUGCUGGCGCAAACAACUGUCAGCUCCUUUUAAAUGUAUUAGCAGAGCAGCACAGGACUGGCCUCGGUUUGAUAAGAAAUUUUAUCUAUGCUGUCGCUGGGUUUUCCUAUUUGUGCUCAGCUUCAAAUUGUCUUUGGACUGUCUCUUGAGGCAACAAAAUCUCUAUUGAUCGACCUCAAAUCAGGUAGGACUACCCGCUGAACUUAA
rnacentral:misc_RNA from 1 species